rnacentral:rRNA from 1 species
UACAGAGGGGGCAAGCGUUAUUCGGAAUUAUUGGGCGUAAAGGGCGCGUAGGCGGCUUUGCAAGUGGCGGGUGAAAUCCCUCGGCUUAACCGAGGAACUGCCUGCCAGACUGUGAGGCUUGAGACCGGGAGAGGUGAGUGGAAUUCCCAGUGUAGCGGUGAAAUGCGUAGAUAUUGGGAGGAACACCAGUGGCGAAGGCGGCUCACUGGACCGGAACUGACGCUGAGACGCGAAAGCUAGGGGAGCGAACAGG